GCGCCUGUAGCUCAGUUGGAUAGAGCAUCUGCCUUCUAAGCAGGUGGCCGUGGGUUCGAGUCCCGCCAGGCGCA
rnacentral:tRNA from 1 species